rnacentral:lncRNA from 1 species
AGAGCUUGGUGGUGUGUGUGUGAAUUUUUUCUCCCAUUGCAAUACAUCAAUCCAUUUAUUCAUGCAUCCAUCGAUUUACUUUGAAUUUUUUCUCAGUCGUCGAACAUUAACUGGAUUGGUUCAUGGAUAUGCAGUGUGACAAGUCAUGUGAGAUGAAGGUGGUGAACCGUCUCAAUGUGAAGCCAAGUAUGUGAAGGAUAUGCCAUGGAUGAUGUGGACAGGUAAGGGUAAAAGUUUGAGCUGUCGAAUUUUGUGUGAUCGAGCUCCUAUACGGUCAAACCUAAAAAGUUCAGUGAAGAUUCAGAUUACAUAUGGAUUCCUUUUUGUUGCCUACAAUGCUAUAAUCACACUAACUAUGUGCAUGGAAUACCAGAGAUAAUGCAAAAGUUGCUUGCCGAUAGGCAGCUGGGCGCAUGCAUAAUUGUCGAGGAGGCCGAAGCCAGCGCUAUUCUGGUUUGACUGAAUAACGUAUUCUGAGGCUCCCUUGUGGUGGAG